AUUGAACGCUGGCGGCAUGCUUUACACAUGCAAGUCGAACGGUAACAGGCCGCAAGGUGCUGACGAGUGGCGAACGGGUGAGUAAUGCAUCGGAACGUGCCCAGUCGUGGGGGAUAACGCAGCGAAAGCUGCGCUAAUACCGCAUACGAUCUAUGGAUGAAAGCGGGGGACCGUAAGGCCUCGCGCGAUUGGAGCGGCCGAUGUCAGAUUAGGUAGUUGGUGGGGUAAAGGCUCACCAAGCCAACGAUCUGUAGCUGGUCUGAGAGGACGACCAGCCACACUGGGACGGGGACACGGCCCAGACUCCUACGGGAGGCAGCAGUGGGGAAGUUUGGACAAUGGGCGCAAGCCUGAUCCAGCAAUGCCGCGUGCAGGAAGAAGGCCUUCGGGUUGUAAACUGCUUUUGUACGGAACGAAAAGGCUCUGGUUAAUACCUGGGGCUCAUGACGGUACCGUAAGAAUAAGCACCGGCUAACUACGUGCCAGCCGCCGCGGUAAGAC
rnacentral:rRNA from 1 species